CAUCUUCCUUUAUUUGCAGUACCCAUGCCAUUAGCAGUAACAUUAAGGCAUUUGUCGCUGUCAUUUUCAGUCACAAGGAGGGAAGGGAUUAGGUAUGUCGCAGCAUGGCAGUAUCCACAGUGCCGGCGGAGGGACCGACUUCCACUUACCGGAUGAGAUCUUGGCUGUGAUGCCGACGGACCCUUACGACCAGCUAGAUCUGGCCCGUAAGAUCACGUCCAUGGCCAUCGCCUCGCGAGUAUCGAAGCUGGAGGCCGAGACGGGUCGCAUGAGGCAGAAAAUUUACGAGCAGGAUCGAAUUAUAUAUGAACUUGAAGAGAAAGCGUCUAACAUGCAACGCGCGCAUCUAGGGGCGGAGUCCAGGUUGAAGAUUAGCCUUGAUGAAAAUAUGAAACUUUCAAAGGAGGAUUCAUUGGUGAUGAGUGUGAAGAAACUCAGCUGUGAUUUGGCAAAGUUGGAGACCUUUAAGAGGCAAUUGAUGCAAUCACUAAAUGAUGAUAAUUUAUCAGCUGAAACUGUUGAUAUUGGCACUUGUGAUCAGUCAGUUCCCAAAGCGUAUCCUGACAAAGAUGAGGGGAUGAAUGGCUAUGCAUCCCAAAAUUCUCAUAGCGGCUCUACUGAUACAGGAAACACAGUCGGUGAUGCUUCAAGACAUGGUGGGCAAAGAUUUUCUAUUACUCCAUAUAUCACACCAAGGCUUACUCCAACAGGAACCCCAAAAAUCAUUUCUUCAAGUGUGUCCCCUAGAGGUUUUUCUGCUGCUGGAUCUCCUCAGAGAACCUCUGGCACAACAUCUCCCACAAAACCUUAUAAUGAGGGACGGACUACACUCUCUUCAUGGUACCCAUCAAGCCAGCAGUCAUCAGCAGCAAACUCUCCUCCCCGUGGACGACCAUUGCCAGCACGCACUCCACGAAUUGAUGGAAAGGAGUUCUUUCGCCAGGCCAGGGGUCGUCUAUCAUAUGAACAGUUUAGUUCAUUUCUGGCUAACAUCAAGGAGCUGAAUGCUCAAAAGCAGACUCGAGAAGAAACCUUAAGGAAAGCAGAAGAGAUAUUUGGGAUGGAUAACAAAGAUCUUUACUUGUUGUUCCAAGGAUUGCUUAAUCGCAACAUUCAUUAGACCUUAAAUUAUGUCCAGUUAAGAUGUUUUACAGUACUUGGGUGUGCUUACUCGUUAGGGAUCAAACUUAAGUCCAACAUUCCACCUAUAAGAGAGGAUACCUUAUGAUAAAUUCUCCAAGAUGUAAUUUAUUGACGGCAUCAACUUGUAUCUUAGUGGUUUAUGUUUAAGCAUCUAGGAUUGCAAGCUUCAUUUCGUACGUACAUGCAGGUAUGUUAUGUAAAUAAACAUCUGUUUUUUAGCAUUACCUGCUCGGAUAUUAAGAAGUACUGGUUGACAUUAUUUUCGCAAGAUUUUGAUAUUUUCAAUUUGGAAAUGAACAGGUUUAUUUUCUUCAAUGAAUUAUCGUCCUCUCUCGUUCUCUCCA